GAUGAAGAACGCAGCGAAAUGCGAUAAGUAGUGUGAAUUGCAGAAUUCAGUGAAUCAUCGAAUCUUUGAACGCACAUUGCGCCCUUUGGUAUUCCAAAGGGCAUGCCUGUUCGAGCGUCAUUUGUACCCUCAAGCUUUGCUUGGUGUUGGGCGUCUUGUCUCUAGCUUUGCUGGAGACUCGCCUUAAAGUAAUUGGCAGCCGGCCUACUGGUUUCGGAGCGCAGCUCAAGUCGCACUCUCUAUCAGCAAAGGUCUAGCAUCCAUUAAGCCUUUUUUUCAACUUUUGACCUCGGAUCAGGUAGGGAUACCCGCUGAACUUAAGCAUAUCAAUAAGCGGAGGA
rnacentral:misc_RNA from 1 species